rnacentral:rRNA from 1 species
UGAGGAAUAUUGGGUCAAUGGGCGGAAGCCUGAACCAGCCAAGUCGCGUGAGGGAAGACGGUCCUAUGGAUUGUAAACCUCUUUUGUCAGGGAGCAAUAAGGGAACGCGUUCCCGAGUGAGAGUACCUGAAGAAAAAGCGUCGGCUAACUCCGUGCCAGCAGCCGCGGUAAUACGGAGGAUGCGAGCGUUAUCCGGAUUUAUUGGGUUUAAAGGGUGCGUAGGCGGACGGUUAAGUCAGCGGUAAAAUCGAGAGGCUCAACCUCUUCCGGCCGUUGAAACUGGCCAUCUUGAGUGAGCGAGAAGUAUGCGGAAUGCGUGGUGUAGCGGUGAAAUGCAUAGAUAUCACGCAGAACUCCGAUUGCGAAGGCAGCAUACCGGCGCUCAACUGACGCUGAAGCACGAAAGCGU